GGAAGGAUCAUUAACAUUACAUAUAUACAAAAAUACAUGGAUUUUUUUUUUAACAAAAAUUUAUUCAUUAUUUCAGUAUUUAUAUCCAUUCGUCUGAGGGAAUUGAAGGAAGGAAAGCAAUUUUUUUUUGCUUCUUUUUUUUCUUUCUCUCUCAACGAACCAAAAUGCGAAUACUAAAAGAAAGUCUUCCUAUUUCAUCAAAUCAUUUAUUUUUUUUGACUGGGAUAGAAAAGAUAGAUUGAAUCAAUCAUCAAUCGUGUAUAAUGCAAGCUUAUUUUUUAAGCAGGCAGAAUACUCUAUACUCUUAUUUUAAAAAAAAAAAAAAAAAAAUUAGAAAAGACAACUUUUAACAUUGGAUACCUUGGUUCCCCAAUCGAAGAAGGGCACAGCAAAAUGUGAUAAGUCAUGUGAAUUGCAGAAUUCUGUGAAUCAUCGAGUCCUUGAACGCAAUUGCACUGUUGGGUACUCCCAGCAGUGUGUCUGUUUGAGUGUCAGUAAAAAAACAAUCAUUCAAAAAAAUUCAUUUUUUUUGAAUGGAUUAUUGAUACUUUGUACUAAGUUAAUUAGUCCAAUGUAUUUAAACAUAUGGAUUGAUUUAAAACUUUCAUUAUGAGAAUGAAAUUGGAGUGUUUUGUGCUAUUCAUAGAUAACACAUACCUCUGCUUACAUGCUUUAAGCAAGAGCAAGGUUUUGUUUGUUAUUGCUUUAACUGGAUAAUAUAAUCAAUUCUAAUUAUUUCUCUUUUAUGAUUUUAUAAAAUCAAUCAAUCAACCUUAUUAAUAUCCUUUUUUCAACAACUUGACCUCAAAUUAGACAAGGCUACCCGCUGAAUUUAAGCAUAUCACUAAGCGGAGGAAAAGAAACUAACUAGGAUGUCCUCAGUAACGGCGAGUGAAGCGGACAUUGCUCAAAUUUUAAAUCGGGAGAUCAAAUUAUAGACCUCUUGAAUUGUAGUUUUUCGAUCGGUUGUCACGAGGGCAAUACUAUUUUUUGGGUAUAAGUUCUUUGGAUGAGACAUCAUAGAGGGUGAGAAUCCCGUUUAUGACCCAAGUAUUGUUCUAAUACGUGUCAACCUUUUGAUGAGUCGGGUUGUUUGGGAUUGCAGCCUAAAAAGGGUGGUAGAUCUCAUCCAAAGCUAAACAUCUUGGGAGACCGAUAGCGAAGAAGUACAGUGAUGGAAAGGUGAAAAGAACUUUGAAAAGAAGGUCAAAAGUGCUUGAAACUGUUAAAAGGGAAACGGAUGGAGCCAGCAAUUACCCAAUGGGCAUAUAGAUCAUCCACUUAUGUAGGGUUUCACAGUUGUUUGUCAGGAGUACUGAGUACCCUGUCAGGUGGCUUGUUGGGGUCUUACGCGAGGUACCUGAUUUGUAUGUUUGUCAACAUCAAGAAUGAGAAGGGAAUAUUUUUAUGGAGGAAGGUAGGCUGGACAUGUCUGGCUGUUUAGACUCUUUAAAACACUCUUUUUAUUCUUGAGGAAGAAAAACAUGGGCCACUAGGCAGGGAGAUUAACUAUUGGACCCUAGGCUUGGGAGGGUUAUAUCUGUUCUGUUGCUUUAAUCGGCAGCAGUUGCAGUAUGGCUCUCUAUCUUGUUUAGGUAAGCUGAUGGUCACCACUUCUACCAUGUUAGGGAUGUUGACAGAAUGACUUCAUCCGCCCCGUCUUGAAACACGGACCAAGGAGUCUAACAUGUAUGCGAGUAUUUGGGUGAAAAACCCUUGAUGCACAAUGAAAGUGACUGACAGGAGCUUUUCAAAAGAAAAGUGCACUGUUGACCGGUCUUUCUUAGGAUGGAUUUGAGUAAGAGCACACAUGAUGGGACCCGAAAGAUGUUGUGAUCUUUGCUUGCACAUGGCGAAGCCAGAGGAAACUCUGGUGGAGGCUCGUAGCGAUUCUGACGUGCAAAUCGAUCGUCUGAUGUGAGUAAAGGGGCGAAAGACUCAUCGAACCAUCUAGUAGCUGGUUCACAC
rnacentral:misc_RNA from 1 species